GCCAUAGCCAGCAAAGGUGAUUGCAGCGGUGCCGUUUUCUUCAUCUAUCUCCUCAAUCUCCGCUUCAUAACACCUGUAAAGAUAUCAUGGCUGUAAGCAGCAAAUCUUCAUUUUCUCCAUUUCCAGACAGUGCAGCUUCGACUUGCUGGAGUUGAGCUUUGUAGCUUGCCAGCUGUUUUGCUAGAUCCUCUGACAUCUGGAGGGGAAAAAAGGAUCUCUGUCUUAUGAUCAAAGGGAGAGGAGGCGUGUCAACAUGCUUGCCCAUGAAACAGCACACAGGACCUGGGACCUGUAGUUCUGCCUCUCUAGCUGUGAGACCUGC